GUAUGGAUACAAGGUGAACUGUUACUAUGGAUACAAGGUGAACUGUUACUUCUACUGAGUAGUAUGGAUACAAGGUGAACUGUUACUAUGGAUACAAGGUGAACUGUUACUUCUACUGAGUAGUAUGGAUACAAGGUGAACUGUUACUAUGGAUACAAGGUGAACUGUUACUUCUACUGAGUAGUAUGGAUACAAGAUGAACUGUUACUAUGGAUACAAGGUGAACUGUUACUAUGGAUAGAAGGUGAACUGUUACUUCUACUGAGUAGUAUGGAUACAAGGUGAACUGUUACUAUGGAUACAAGGUGAACUGUUACUUCUACUGAGUAG